rnacentral:lncRNA from 10 species
CGCCCCGUUUGCCCAUUUUCCAAAAAAUCAGAGCAUAACCCGUUCUAACCCGAUUCCCUGCUCUGUUAUGUUAUGUCUGCCCUCCUCUGAUGCUUGGGAAAUCGUUUGUUCUGUGGGCUUCUCCUGAGGAGAUGGACGAUUUUCAGAGCUUGCAGAAAGGCCCGUGAGAAGAGCAGGGGAGGUAUAGUCAUUUCCCUUGUUUUACGGCAGAGGAAACUGAAGAUAAAGCUAUGAAGUGAAGCUGGCUAGUGGCUGCCUCAGGGUUACUACUGAUAUCACUGGACCCCUUCAGAACCAAGCAUGAAUGAAGCAAUCCUUUUUCCCACCUGCAAGUGAGGCUCUGAGGGAUUCUUCAGAAAUCAAGACUUUGACCCACUCCAUAUUAUGAAUGCCUCAGCCUACAAAGAGCUUGCCUAACCCAACAUCAAGGGGUGGACACGUGAUGCUGGACUUCCAGAGCAAAAAUGGGUGUUUGAAGAACUUACUCCCAUGAUGCGGCAGUCAAGGAGAUGCACAGUAGAGGAUCAAAAAGCUGACAACUUGGCCUCCCCUGGGUCGCUUCCAGGGGAGCGCGGCUUCACCGCUCGAACCAGCUGGCCAAGUUCCGUAUGCUCUUGGGCCGGUCCCCAGCCCUCUGUACAGCCUGGCACACCCGGCACCAAGGCUCGUCCCAGAAGGAGGUGAUGUGGACAGCGUAGCUCCGGCGCCAGUGGAAGUAGCGGCGAUAGACCGCGGGGUUGCGGUCGAGGAAAAGCAGGUACGAGGCCAGGGAGGAGGCACUUGGGAAGUCGUCCACGUGGAUGAAGGCGCCGCGGGGCACAAAGCGCUCGUAGUUGGCACGGUCUGGGCCCAGCACCACCGGCACCGCCCCAGCGAGCAACGCGUUGCGCCAGAGCUUCUCGGUGAUAUAAUCCAGGUGCUGCGAGUUCUCGAAAGCCAGGUAGAACUUGUAGCGGGCCACUGUGUGCAGGAGCCCAAUUUCGGGCACCGGCUCCCCCGGCCUCGGCGCCACCCGCGCCGCCCGCCCG